ensembl:lncRNA novel transcript
GUGACGCGCCCCGGCCUAUGGCGCACUCCCUGUGGGGCUUAUCGUGCCGUUUGGGAGCGGCACGGGACUCGAUGGAGGACGGGUGGGGCUAAUAGUAUCGGCGCGCCGAGAGGGGCUGAAACAGCUGGACCCGGGAUGGGGUGGGGGAUGUCACCCAACUCCUCUCGGACCCCCCAACCCCACUCCAGGCCCAACGGCCUCUUUGGAGCGCAGCCCGGUCUUGGUCACCAGAGGUGCCCCCAGUCGCUCGUGUCUCUGCCCUUUGGCCGGGCAAUGAGGUGCAGCUCAGGACUUGCCAGGCGGCGGAAAGGGUGGAGGACAGACCAGCCAGACUCCACCCCCACCGACCCAGAAGACAACCGCUGGCCAGCAGCCAGCUCCUGCCCUGGGCCUGGGGAGGGAGGCCAGAGGCUGCCUUAGUUAGAGCUUGAGCAGCCAGGCUAGGACGAGGCAGCCCAGAUGGACGCAAAUGUCGCUUGGAAAGAGCUUGGCACCCAGGAAAGGGCGGCGUGGGGCAGGGGGGCGCAUGCCCACUGUCGGCUGGCACCAAAAGACCUUUUGUGGCUAUGAAGGCCCAGUGUCCCUCAGUGGUGGCUUUUAUGGGGUCCUGCAGUCCAAGCCCCACAGGAAACUUUCUAAAGGUUUGAGGGCAAAGUCAGGGGCCACUACCCAGGGAGAAUCCAUUCCCCUGUGGCUUGGGGCCCCGAGGACAGAGUCUGACCAGAAGUAAUCAAGUAAUUACACCCCAUCCUCUUUCACCCCAAUGCAAACACGGGUGGUCCAGGGGAGGGAGUGUGGCCACCCAUGCUGACCACAUACGGCUGUCAGGAUGCUGAGGCACAGCUCCACAGAGCCCAGGCAGCCACGUUCUGGCCACCCCAGAACAUCAUGGGAGGGGCACAGUCCCUGGAGCAAGGGGCAGGGAUUCCAGGAAUGAAUGAGGUGAGGGGAGGGCCGGGACAGCACAUGACAAAGGGCAUGGCAGCAGGGCCGGGUGCUACUGGGACUUCUUUCCUGGACAAUUCCAGGCUUGCACGCUUGCUCCCAUGGGGACAAUGCCAACAGGAGGCAGAGUGGUGGGGUGGUGGCCUCUCCAGAUAGUGACCUAACAGUUUCUGUUUCUGGCUUUUUAAACCCCCUGAACUGGACUUGCUUUUGCAAUGGAAAGAAGAGGGAGGGCCAGAGCUUUGGGAGGGAGUGGCCAGGAGAUGGAGGGACAGGCGGAGGUCUGCUGGGGGCAAGGUGACAUGGCCACAGAGGGUGGCAGCAGCCAGGAUGACUGUGUGGGAACAGCAGGGCAGAGAUGGGGCUGAGACAGGGAGGGAGACAGGCCAGGUACGAGCAGGAAAUGACCAGGACGGAGCCAGAGGGCCGGUCUCAGUCUUUAAUCGUGGCAGGGCCUCACGCACGCGCGCACGUACACACACUCAGGCUUCAGAUCUUGUUGAAAGCUGCGAUAUCGACACUCUGCACCUGAGGAGAGGCGGAGGGUGACGGUCAGGGCUGUUCCCCUACAGCCCACUCGGAGCCAGGAGCCUCCUCUGAGGUGGGGUUCACUCUGGGACUCGCUCCCCACUGCCGUGGGGUGGAGUGCAGGGUAUGGGCCAGGGUCCCCAGUCUCCUCUCCCCUCCUCUCCCCGGCCGGCUCACUCACGUGCUCCUCAAACUUGGUGAUCUCCUCCUCCAGCAAGUCUGUCCCCACCUUGUCGUCCUCCACCACACACUGAAUCUGUAGCUUCCGGAUACCGUAGCCCACGGGCACCAGCUUGGAAGCCCCCCAGACCAGCCCGUCCAGCUGGAUAGAGCGCACACAGGCCUCCAGCUGGGCCAUGUCCGUCUCAUCAUCCCACUGUGGGGAAAGGGGAGGAAAAGCUGGGGUCAGCCACCCUCAGAACACCCAGGAAGUACCUGCAUGCACCCUACCCUCAACCACUGUGUGUCCACAAUUCUGUUUCCUUAAAGGGCCCACAGAAAACAAUCCAAAUUCACACCUUCCUGCCUCCAAGUUUGUGUUUAUCCCAAGACUUCUAAACUCGGCUUUAAAGUCUCCCCAGAACCCAGAGGGCAGGGGGAGGGUCACAGGCUGAGCCGGCUAGGCGGGCACCAGGGCAGUGCCUGGCCCCCUGAAGCCCCACCCCGCCCACUCACAGGCUUGACAUCCAGCAGGAUGGAGGACUUGGCCACCAGUGCAGGCUUCUUGGCCUUCUUCUCCGCGUACUGCCGUAGCCGCUCCUCCCGCAGCUGUGCCGCCUCCUUGUCCUCCUCCUCAUUGUCACUGCCAAACAGGUCAAUGUCAUCAUCCUCGUCAUCCUCUGCUGGUGUGGCUGGCUUCUUGGCUGGGGGCUCCACUUGGCGCAUGGGAGAUACGUGCUGCCACAGGGGAAGGGACAGGAGGCACGGCUGAGACGCCCCAACCAGGGCCCAGAGCUGCCUGGCCACCUCCUGGCCCUCCUCCCUCCUUUGACUGGAGGAAGGGCAGCCCCUGUGUACCGCAGCUGUGUACAUGCAGGGCCCCAGGAAAGACAAAAACUGCCUCCACCUGCCCAGGGCUAACUGUAAACCUUCCUGGGGACCUGAGGACUCCAGUAUCCUGGCUGCCAGCUCAUCACUGCUGCUGGGGCCAGCCCACAGGGCGACGUGGAAGCCAGCAGGGCCACGUGGUCCCCUGCAGUGUCAGGCGUGGGGAGAGCAUUCACCUGGGUCUGUGGGGCCGUGGCCCGGUGGCCAGGCGAGCUCUUCUCCAGCACGUUCAGCCGGGCCUCCAGCUUGGAGAUGGCCUGCUGCAGCUCCUGUACCACUGGGGGGGCAAGGGGAGCACGGUUAGAUGGCAGGGGCCAGGGACAGCCCCAACCCACUGGCCCGGGGCCUCACCGCCACGCAGACUCUGGUUCUCCACUUCCAGACUGGCAAUCCGGACGACGAGCUCACCGUGGUCUCCGCUGGUGCCGCUGGAGGCCCCGGGGCCUGAGCUCUGCAAGGCAGGAGGAGGGGAGGGCUCAGUGCCCAGCCUGCUCCUAGGGUCCCCCUGCCAUGCUCAGGACUGCAGGAACUCACGGAAGGAAAACUACAGCUCGGGAGAGCAGGAGGUGCCCCCCGCUGAUGCCCAGCUCAAACUUAUGACCUCAGAGGUGGCGGCCACCACAGACCACAGUGAAAUUCUCAGCCAGGCAAAGUCCAGGACAGGAGGCUCUUGGUGCCCCAGAGACGGAGGCUGUGGGGAGCUGGGCCAUGGCUGCUGCUGCCCGGCGGAAUCCUGCUGAGCAGCCAGGCUCAGAGGCUGGGUGGGAGGUGCUGAAGGACUCACAGUCCUAGGGACAACCUGGGACACGCCUCAGGGGACCAGGCAGCACUGGAAAUGGGAGGCGGGAGCAGCUGAGGGCCCAGUGGGGGAAGAAGGAAGGAGCCCACCUGUGUGGACAGCAGCCACCCAAAGCUUUGUCUCCCUGGGCCUCACGCCUGCCAUCUCACUCAGCAAGCCAGUCUCUAGGUGAUCCAGGGCCCCAAGCCCACCUCAUACUCUGCCAUAGCUGAGACUGAUACCUCGGGGCCCAGACAGGAUCCCAGCCUCCUGGCCCUUAACACUAGCCAGUCCUUAAGCAUCUACCUGCACGCAUGGGCCAUUUAGCCUGCCCACCCUCCAACAGGAUGGCUCGAAGGACAGGGUGCACCUGGCUGCAUGGAGCUCUCAGCAAACCCCAUCUCGGCAGCUCCCCGGGGCUCCCUCUCUGUGGGGAGGGGCCUGGAGUAGCCGGGCAGGCAAAGCCGCUCCUUGCAGCAGGUGCGGACAUACUCAGGCCUUUGCCCAACGUGCAAACCCAUCCCUGGGGCCCUCCUGCCACCGUCCUUGGGACCAUGCUGUGGGGAAUGCUUGUUUAUGUAUCUGGAGGGUGUGGGAGCUAAGCCCCGCAGAUCAUGGGCAAGGCCGAGCCAAACUGGCCCAGGAGGCCCACCUGGCAGCAAGGCCAGGAGGAAAUGGACAGGGAAAGGCCAGGCUGGCAGAGGCGCGUGAAUGGUGGUGGGGGUACGGGAGGCACCGGCAGAAACUGACAAACUCGGGGGCAGAAGCCGGAGCACGGGAGGGCCAGGCUUUGGGGCGCCAGGGGGCAUGGAGAAUCACAGCAGACCUCCCGCGGGAGUGGGGCUGGGUCCUGAGGAGGCCGGAGUCUGUGAGUGGCACCUGAGGCCUCAUGCACCCCACACAGCAGGCCCAAGGACAGGGAAAAGGUCCCCUCUGGAAGAGGCACUAAGUCAGCACUGGCCCCGGGCUGCAUGAUGAGCAGCGGGGGCCGUCUCACCACUGCCUGGCUCUGCGGGCCACUAGGCCAGAGCCCACAGCACUCAGGACACAGGGAGAGUCCCCUCCUUUGAUGCUGACUCAGGGGGGACUAGGGAUGCCAGGCAUCAGAAUCCCUGAGCACAGCUUCAACGGGCAGGCUCAGGUCACCCAGUGCAGUCACAGCGGGCCUCAGAGAGCCCCUCAGGGACUUGGGGGAUGCCAAAGGCAAACACUUCAGAGCCAGACCCAUGCCUGUAACCCUGUGCCAGCACCACGCUACCAGAAACCCUGCAGUUCUGAAACCCCAGUGUCUGCUGAGCACUCCCACCCCAAAUCCAAGAUGAGACUGGGCCCCUGCCAUGGGCUGAAUAAUGUCCUUCCAAAUCCACAUGCUGGAGUCUUAUCCCCCGGUAUCUUAGGAUGUGACCUUAUUUGGAGACAGGGCCUUUGCAGAGGUAACUGUCACUGAGGGGCAGGGGGCUAAUCCAAUCUGACUGGUGUCCAAUAAGAAGACAUCAGGACACACACACACUCAGAUGGAUGACCGUGUGAAGACAUGGAGAAGACGGUCUACAUGCUGAGAGAGGCCUCAGGAGAAACCAGCCUUGCUGCCACCUCGAUCAUGGACUUCCAGCCUCCAGAGCUGUGAGAAAAUACAUGUGGUUUAAGUCA